rnacentral:rRNA from 1 species
AUACGGGGGGUGCAAGCGUUAAUCGGAAUUACUGGGCGUAAAGCGCGCGUAGGCGGUUAAAUAAGUUGGAUGUGAAAUCCCCGGGCUCAACCUGGGAACUGCAUUCAAAACUGUUUAACUAGAGUAUGGUAGAGGGAAGUGGAAUUCCGGGUGUAGCGGUGAAAUGCGUAGAUAUCCGGAGGAACACCAGUGGCGAAGGCGGCUUCCUGGAUCAACACUGACACUGAGGCGCGAAAGCGUGGGGAGCAAACAGGAGUAGAUACCCCAGUAGUCC